CCUUUUGACCUUAGGCCAACAAAAUCUGACCGUCUGAUGCAAGGAAUUGACCUAGUCAGAUGAUCAGAAGGGAGGAACAGAUUGGGGGACACCGUCAUAUGGUGGGGGAUCCGUACGGGAUCCCUUGGUUGACCUACCAGUCCACCCGCGUGGCAGGCUCAAGGAGGGCCACUUGGCCCACAUGCGCAGCGACAAAGUGAGGUAAUAAAAACCUCCCUCCACUGAGAUUGAGUUCAUUUGGAGAACUCAAUUCUAUCUCCUCAGUUUAAAACCAAAGAACGAUCUACAAAUAAAACCUCCCUCCUCCAAUCAGCCUGCCGGAGAAGGCAGUGGUUGUCGGCCAAUAGUGGCGGCGCCACCUUCUUCUCCGGCGAACCACCACUCAAAAACCUGAACUUCAAACACUAACCCUACUUUGUUUUAGCCGGAGAAUCCAAAUCCGGCCUUAACUCUUCCUAAAUCCUCCUCAAAUGUCUGGAUCGGCCCACUCAACAAGACGAAGAUUCAAAUCUCCGACGAAAACAAACUCUCAACGCAACCCCACAAACCCUCGAUUCCUUCUAACAGACAAAUCAAAACAAAAUCAACAACAUGAAAUACUUCAAAAAAAAUAAACCCUAAUAUCGAAAUUAAAACCUUCACAGUAGCAAUCAUUAAAGGGCUUCUACUCAGUUUGAAAAGGAAAAUAUAAUGGCUUAAAGGUUUCAAGUAAAAGAGGGAGACGAAAGCUACUUGGUCGGAGCGGAUUCGACAGUGAGAUCUCCUUCGACGCUGUUCAGAUAACUCCUUCCUUUGAACUUUCCCCUUCUUCUUCUUCUUCUUCUUCUUUGUUCUUCUGUGUUUGCUAUUAGUUUUUUGUGUUGGUCUACGCUCAUCUACGUUAGAGUUUCAGCGUGAAACUCUAAUAUAGAUUUAAGAAAUCGUGAGCUUUUCUAAAAAGUUUUCUUGGGAACUUUUGCAGAAUAACCGUCCUUUUUCUUAAUGACCGAACGCCCUCUCUUAUAGAUGGGUGCGUGUGAUGUCUUUCGAUUGGGAGCUGGCAGGGAUUAUAGGAUCAUUCCGUUAGAUUUUCAUCUCCCUGCGAUUUGGUGAAUCUUGCCAAUCUAUUAUGAUUGAAUUCGUUUAUUUUUGUUUGUAGUGAGGUCUUCAUAUCUGUCAAGCUUGGUUGGUCCCCAUUAACAAAUGAUUUUCAACUUUUCAAUAUCUCUUCGCUAUCUCAAGCUGGUUAUGCACAAGUCUUCUUGGUGCGAGCCCGAGGAGGAUGACGAUAAAGUGACUUGCACACUUAGCAUGAAUUUAAUUCAAUGCAAGUUAUGGUCUUGGUUUAACACACUCUCUCUAGUUGGAUGGAUUCAAGUUGCACGACAUUCUUUUGGUCAAAACUUGGUUUUGCAAUUUGUAAUUAAAUAUCAUACCUAUUCCUAAUCAUGAUUUUGGAACAGUAACGUGUAUAAGUUCCCAUUCAUAUGUAUGGCUCUAAAUUUGUGUAAAGAAAGAACUUUGAAUUGUA